rnacentral:lncRNA from 1 species
AAAUGAUUUAAGAUGAAUGGUAUAUUUUGAAAAUGAGAAGGUAUAUUUGUCAGGGUCAAGCGGUAUAUACUUUAUCGAUAGAUCCGCGGUCACCUGUUUUGUGUUUACGUGUAUUUAGUUUUUGUUUAAUUGCAUUUAUUAUUAAAUAUGACGAAUCUUCAACGCUGGCUCUUCUACGCCGCGCUCUUUGCAGUGCCCUACCUCUCUGUGGUGCUGGGCACAGUGCAAACGCAGUUCACAAGCAAAUAUCUGCUGCAAAUUCAGCUACUGCCGCUCCUGCUGCUGGUGCUCUUUGGCGUAAGUUGAUGGAGUUCACAGAACGCCGCAUUAGUAACACCCAUCUUUUCCAAUAACCCUAGGUAUACUCCGUGUGGACUGUGCUGUACCGUACAUUUACCUUCAACGACUGCCCCGAGGCGGCAAAGGAACUGCAGUCUGAGAUUCUGGAGGCACGCAAGGAUUUGAUUGCUAAGGGAUUUCGGUUUCGGGACUGAUGAAGUGGGCAACAUACUAAGCUGAAACCACGUGCAUGUUAAUUUGUAAUUCCAUUAAUUAUAAAAGUUAUAUACGAAUGUA